UAUACGACCGUACCGCAAACCGACACUGGUGCGCGAGAUGAGUAUUCUAAGGCGCUUGAGAGAACUCAGGAGAAGGAACUCGGCAAAUUGACACCGUAACUUCGGAAGAAGGUGUGCCCUAUUAGUGUGUAGUGAACAACGAAGCAUGAAUGGGUUGCAAAAAAUCGGUGGCUGCGACUGUUUAUUAAAAACACAGCACUCUGCAAACACGAAAGUGGACGUAUAGGGUGUGACGCCUGCCCGGUGCUGGAAGAUUAAAUGAUGGGGUGCAAGCUCUUGAUUGAAGUCCCAGUAAACAGCGGCCGUAACAAUAACGGUCCUAAGGUAGCGAAAUUCCUUGUCGGGUAAGUUCCGACCUGCACGAAUGGCGUAACGAUGGCCACACUGUCUCCUCCUGAGACUCAGCGAAGUUGAAAUGUUUGUGAUGAUGCAAUCUCCCCGCGGAAAGACGGAAAGACCCCAUGAACCUUUACUGUAGCUUUGUAUUGGACUUUGAACAGAUCUGUGUAGGAUAGGUGGGAGGCUUUGAAGCAGGGUCGCUAGAUCUUGUGGAGCCAACGUUGAAAUACCACCCUGGUGUGUUUGAGGUUCUAACCUAGGUCCAUUAUCUGGAUCGGGGACAGUGCAUGGUAGGCAGUUUGACUGGGGCGGUCUCCUCCCAAAGCGUAACGGAGGAGUUCGAAGGUACGCUAGUUACGGUCGGACAUCGUGACGAUAGUGCAAUGGCAUAAGCGUGCUUAACUGCGAGACUGACAAGUCGAGCAGAUGCGAAAGCAGGACAUAGUGAUCCGGUGGUUCUGUAUGGAAGGGCCAUCGCUCAACGGAUAAAAGGUACUCUGGGGAUAACAGGCUGAUACCGCCCAAGAGUUCAUAUCGACGGCGGUGUUUGGCACCUCGAUGUCGGCUCAUCUCAUCCUGGGGCUGUAGCCGGUCCCAAGGGUAUGGCUGUUCGCCAUUUAAAGAGGUACGUGAGCUGGGUUUAAAACGUCGUGAGACAGUUUGGUCCCUAUCUUCCGUGGGCGCUGCAGACUUGAGGAAGCCUGCUCCUAGUACGAGAGGACCGGAGUGGACACACCUCUGGUGUAUCGGUUGUCACGCUAGUGGCAUUGCCGAGUAGCUAAGUGUGGAAGAGAUAACCGCUGAAAGCAUCUAAGCGGGAAACUCGUUUCAAGAUGAGAUCUGCCGGGGCCUUGAGCCCCCUAAAGAGUCGUUCAAGACCAGGACGUUGAUAGGUCAGGUGUGGAAGCCAA
rnacentral:rRNA from 1 species